CCUUCGAUAGCUCAGUUGGUAGAGCGGUGGACUGUAGUUGAACAGCUAAGCUGAGAUCCAUAGGUCACUGGUUCAAAUCCGGUUCGAAGGA
rnacentral:tRNA from 1 species